rnacentral:rRNA from 1 species
GAUGAACGCUGGCGGCGUGCCUAAUACAUGCAAGUCGAGCGAAUGGAUUAAGAGCUUGCUCUUAUGAAGUUAGCGGCGGACGGGUGAGUAACACGUGGGUAACCUGCCCAUAAGACUGGGAUAACUCCGGGAAACCGGGGCUAAUACCGGAUAACAUUUUGAACCGCAUGGUUCGAAAUUGAAAGGCGGCUUCGGCUGUCACUUAUGGAUGGACCCGCGUCGCAUUAGCUAGUUGGUGAGGUAACGGCUCACCAAGGCAACGAUGCGUAGCCGACCUGAGGGGGUGAUCGGCCACACUGGGACUGAGACACGGCCCAGACUCCUACGGGAGGCAGCAGUAGGGAAUCUUCCGCAAUGGACGAAAGUCUGACGGAGCAACGCAGCGUGAGUGAUGAAGGCUUUCGGGUCGUAAAACUCUGUUGUUAGGGAAGAACAAGUGCUAGUUGAAUAAGCUGGCACCUUGACGGUACCUAACCAGAAAGCCACGGCUAACUACGUGCCAGCAGCCGCGGUAA